rnacentral:rRNA from 1 species
AUACGGAGGGUGCGAGCGUUGUUCGGAAUUAUUGGGCGUAAAGCGCACGCAGGCGGUUUAGAUAAGUCAGAUGUGAAAUCCCCGGGCUCAACCUGGGAACUGCAUUUGAAACUGUCUGACUAGAGUCUUGUAGAGGGGGGUAGAAUUCCAGGUGUAGCGGUGAAAUGCGUAGAGAUCUGGAGGAAUACCGGUGGCGAAGGCGGCCCCCUGGACAAAGACUGACGCUCAGGUGCGAAAGCGUGGGGAGC